CGGCCUACGGGGCACAGCAGUGGGGGAUAUUGCACAAUGGGGGGAACCCUGAUGCAGCGACGCCGCGUGGGUGAAGGAGCGUUUCGGCGCGUAAAGCCCUCUCGGCAGGGAAGAAGAUGACGGUACCUGACCAAGAAGCCCCGGCUAACUACGUGCCAGCAGCCGCGGUAAUACGUAGGUGGCAAGCGUUGUCCGGGUUUACUGGGUGUAAAGGGCGUGUAGCCGGGCCGGCAAG
rnacentral:rRNA from 1 species